CUUCAUAUCCUAUAUAUUCUUUGAGCACUCUUCCACUGCCAUUUCUACCUUAUAUUUUCUUCCUUCUCUCCGCCUGCAGUUCCUGGGUUCUUUUUCGCUUUUCCGCCGUUCUUUUUACUCCUUACGCCGUCUGUCUACGGCAGCGACCACCACUUUAACCGCCGUUUGUAAGCACAGAUCAAGGACUUUUUUUUCGAUUCCCUGCAACCCGUGAUUUUUUUAUCGGAUAAUUUAUUUUUUCAUAUUUUCGUUUUUAUUUUGAAUUUUUUUCCUACUGGUUUUGUUAAAAAAUAUAUAUUCCCCAAUUUUUAUGGUCGGCCAGAUGGUUCUUUUGUAAUUCUAUUUUUGGGUCUUUUCACUUGUUUUGGACGUUUACGCUCACUUCUCGAUAAAGAUGAUUAGACGUUUUUACCCAAGUAAAAAAAGAUUUUUUUAAUAGACGUUUUUGCCCUUUGUUGACUAUCUGCUUACGUGGCAGUACUUAUUAUUAUUUUAUUAUAAAAUGAGUCAUCAGCAGCGUAAGAUUUUGACACCUGGAAUCUGUAGAAAGCGUAAAGAACGAGAAGCUUUUUAUUCCUUUAAACCGUCCGUUCCGGUUCAAUCCUCGGUUUAUACGAAUCCAAAAUCCCCGCCCCAACCUAAUUGCUCGAACCGGCUCUUAGCUGGCUACAUGGCGCAUGAGUUCUUGACGAGGGGAACGUUGUUGGGUCAAAAAUUCGAUCCGGAUCGAUCGGAGGCGGUUCCGAUGGUCGGCUCAUUGGCUGAACCGCGAAAGGUCAAGACGGGAACCGAACCGAAUGGUAAGAAAGAGUGCCCGAGCUAUGCUGAGGUGGCAAGCGUUUUGAAGGGCGAUGGGGCCCACAUUCCGGGGAUUGUUAAUCCUACACAGCUGGCCAGGUGGAUACAGAUGUGAACAAAAGGAAUUCCAAAUUUCGAAGAUUACGUGGCGGUAUACGACUGGUGAAAUUUUGACACCCACGUAAUGGAAGUUUGCACUCACUAGCACCUGAUUAUCCUGCUUUCUCUCUCUAUUAUGUAGCUCUUUCCGUGUUGUCUCUGGCAAUGAUGACGAGAAUUGUCAGUCAUUCAAUACAGUUGCUCCAGCAGAUGGUUUUUCUCUCGAUCCUAAUAAUGCUUCUUUGAGAAAGAUUCAGCAGUUUCCUAAGCAUGACAUUGUAAAACUCGGUGAGCAUAAUUUUCUUUUAUAGAAACAAGUUAUGUUAAUUCUUGAAGGAUAGGGGCUGCAUGACUUUGUUCUUGGAACUAUUAGUGUUCUUUCACAGUCGGUUGUCGAUAGGGAUGGUAAUCUUGUUGCCAAUCUUGAGUUAUUGUUUCAUAAGCAACAAGACAAGCUUUUAGCUUCCUGGCCAUUAUCCACUAUUUGUGAUGAUACCUUGGUACAUCUCACUGGUGCCCGAUCAAGCUUUGAUGUAUGGAGUACUAUUGUGCGUUGUUUUGCUUCUAAGUCCACUUUGACAGUCUCUACUCUGAGACAUUCCUUAUAUUCUCAGAAAAAAAGGGCAAUUAACCGUUAAAGAAUACUUGGCUAAGGUUAAAAGCCUGUGUAACACUCUAAUGGCUGCAGGAAAUGUUAUUUCUGAGCAAGAACAAAUUAGCAUUAUUCUUGUUGGUCUGCCAGUGGAGUAUGAACCGAUUUGGAUUGUGGCUUCUGCAAUGAGUGUUCCUCUUGAUCUUCUUGCUGAAAUGCUCACUGAUUGUAAAACUCGACAACAAUAUUUAAUUUCAAGUGUCUUUACAGGCUAAUGUUGCUCAGCAACAUGGUAACAAUGAUAGCAACACAAGUCAGUUUGAUAGAGGCUCUAGGCCACCCUAUAGGGGUAGUGGUAGGUCUUCUCGAUGCAGAGGUCGAGGAAGAAAGUUUGUCCAUAAUAAGCAUCAAUGCUAGCUGUGUGGACGGAUUGGUCAUACUAUACAGAAGUGCUAUUAUCAAUUUGAUGAGACUUUUGAAUGUGUUCCUGAUCAGUCUAUGCAGGUGCAUUGUCAUCAGUUCCAAGGUCCUUCCAAUUUGACAUAUAGUGGGCUUCACUGUUGUUCUCACAGAGGUACUGUACAAGGUUCUAGCUUGCAAUCUAAUGUAGUCUUCAAAUAAGAGCAGUUUCUCACGGGCCCUUUGAAUGCGAAAGUUUGUAUCUAGACUCAGGUGCAUCCAAUCAUGUUACCAAUGAUCUGGACAAUUUGCAGGAGGCAGCACCGUAUAUAGGUAACAACAAGCUUUUCAUGGGGAAUGGUGUGUGCCAGUACCUGUGGCUCAUGUUGGCUCAAGCUUCUUUACAACUGAAAGUAGAGUUUUUUCAUUUGAAAAAUGUUUUGCACGUUCCCCGAAUUUGUAAAAACUUAAUGUCUGUUGCACAAUUUGCAAAAGAUAAUCAAGUUUAUUUUGAGUUUCAUCAUUUUCAUUACUUUGUGAAAGAUAUCAAGACAGUGAACAUAUUGUUCGUGGGCCACAUUCAUGAUGGCCUGUACCAGUUUGAUCUAUCAAACUCUCAAAGGUGUAGGACUGCUUUUCCUUCUCUAGCCACUGCUCAUGCUACUCAUUUGGGGUCACCUAUUUCUAGUAGUCUCGUUUUUUUAUUUGUGACACAAACAGACUUGGUCACCAUUGUAAUAUAGUUUCAAAUAGUUUUAAGUUGAGUUCAAUCUGUUCAGUAUGCCAA